rnacentral:lncRNA from 1 species
AGCCGUAGGUGACGCCAGGGCCCCGCUCCCGGCCCCGGGUGCCACGACUGCAAUAUUCCCGCUGAGGGACCACUCCAAGUGCCCUUCACGUGCAGGCACACAGCCCCAGGAUGAGCACACUGCUUCUGGAGAGCAGCUGCUGCCUCUGGAACGUUCCUGCUGUGCCAGCCCUGGGGGCUGCGCCGUGCCAAAGCCAUAUUGCAAAGCCAAGCACAAGCACACAGGUAAACCAGCCAGGCUGCAGAGGAGGAAGGUGGGAGCCUGGUGCCUCCCCUGCCCUUUCCAGCCUCUCCUGCCUCAGUUUCCCCCGCCUGCAAAUGAGUUUAAUGACGCAGCUACCUCCGAGGGGUCGUGGGGCUGGCAGGGCCACGAGCCAGGGGAGGAAAAAAGCACUUAGUGGGGAUUGGUCCCACCUGGGAACCACUCACCCCACGGGGCUGGGGUACCCCUGAGCCUACCCUGCCACUCCCUGCCCGCCUCGGCUUCUCUGCCCAGUUAAAUGUUGAAAUAUUUCAUUGUCCCUGGGAUUUAACACAGUUUAAACCCUUCCUGCAGCUCCUGCAGCCUCUCCUCAGCCUGGCUGAUGCCUCGUGGUUCUAUUGCUUGCUGCAUUGUGACAGUAUUAGAGAAAAAGCUUUGUAUUCUUAAUUACACUCGGUGUGUUUACAAGCCAAUGACAUAUCAACAGAGCUUCCUGCAAUAUCUGGGGGGAGGGGAGGGAAAUAUGCCAAAGAAAUGUCUUUAAAGGGGUCUUUUUUGCAUUUUUAUAUGAAUAGAAUGUUUCUAGCAGAUAUGUUUUGUUUAAUAUAUUAAAGAUAUGCCAAUCUGCCAAGAUCUAUUGUGUGAUUUCUCUCAGAGUUCACGUUCAAAUGCAGUGUUUGACCCUCACAAAGUCAUUCUGCUGAAGAAUGAGAAAUCCAAGGUGAGGCUGCCCUGGAAAACCUAGUACCUUUUGUGCUUUUAUUUACUUAUAACAGAAAUGUAACAUGACCUGAAGCAGUCACUCCAUAAAAUGCCCCAUUCCCUGGGCGACUGUCCCAGCAGCACAAUCGCUCUGUCCCUGGUGGGCUCCACACUUCUGGUCCCCAAACUGUCCCUCUGGGCCAGGGACACCUUCAGGACCAAGCCUUGGCCCUCCUGAAGGCUCUGAUCUCCUCGGGGCUCCUCAGGUACUGCUCGAUCUCGCUGUCUGAGAUGGGCUC